ensembl:lncRNA
GGGUAGGGGUGGCAGGUAGCUUAGUGGUUAGAAGGGUAGGGGUGGCAGGUAGCUUAGUGGUUAGAAGGUAGGGGUGGCAGGUAGCCUAGUGGUUAGAGCGUAGGGGUGGCAGGUAGUCUAGUGGUUAGAGGGUAGGGGAGGCAGGUAGCCUAGUGGUUAGAGGGUAACAGUGGCAGGUAACCUAGCGGUUAGAGGGUAGGGGAGGCAGGUAGCCUAGUGGUUAGAGGGUAGGGGUGGCAGGUAGCCUAGCGGUUAGAGCUUAGGGGUGGCAGGUAGCUUAGUGAUGAGAACGUAGGAGUGGCAGGUAGCUUAGUGGUUAGAAGGUAGGGGUGGCAGGUAGCCUCGCGGUUAGAGCAUAUGUGUGGCAGGUAGCCUAGCAGUUAGACCAUAGGCGUGGCAGG